rnacentral:lncRNA from 1 species
GCGGAAGGGCAGAGGUGCUGGAGAGAGGCCCCAGGCCCCUCCGCCACCGAGGAAGCAAAGAACCCCGUGAACCAAGUCGCCACUCGAGAUUUUACCCAGUGAGAACAUGUUUAGGACACUUUUCUACAGUGGAAGAAAAGCUUCUGUCUGCAGGUCCAAAGGCACCGUCCUGAGUUGGAAAAAGAUGAAUCAGACCCAGUCCCUCCCUGGAGUUGCUCAGAGGUCUGGAGGAGAAAGGCAUAGAGCCCUUUCAUCAUCCUUGUUGCUUGUCUCAACCACUUUUAAGUCUGCCAACAUCUUUCUGAUCCUUAAGUAAAC